UACGAAGGGUGCAAGCGUUACUCGGAAUUACUGGGCGUAAAGCGUGCGUAGGUGGUUUGUUAAGUCUGAUGUGAAAUCUCUGGGCUCAACUCAGAGACUGCUUCCGAAACUGCUGUGCUGGAGUGUGGGAGAGGCGCGUGGAAUUGCAGGUGUAGCGGUGAAAUGCGUAGAUAUCUGCAGGAACACCCGUGGCGAAAGCGGCGCGCUGGACCACUGACUGACGCUGAGGAACGAAAGCUAGGGGAGCAAACAGG
rnacentral:rRNA from 1 species